rnacentral:rRNA from 1 species
GACGAACGCUGGCGGCGUGCCUAAUACAUGCAAGUCGAACGCAGUGGGGACGGGUGAGUAACACGUGGGUAACCUCCCAUCAGAAGGGAUAACACUUGGAAACAGGUGCUAAACCGAUACUGAUGGAUGGAGCCUCGGUGCAUUAGCUAGUUGGUGAGGUAACGGCUCACCAAGGCCACGAUGCAUAGGCGACCGGCGAGGGUGAUCGGCCACACUGGGACUGAGACGCUGCCCAGACGCCUACGGUAGGCAGCAGUAGGGAAUCUUCGGCAAUGGACGAAAUUAUGACCGAGCAACGCCGCGUGAGUGCAGAAGGUUGUCGGAUCGUACAAAUCUGUUGUUAGAGAAGCGGUAUCUAACCAGAAAGUCACGGCUAACUACGUGCCAGCAGCCGCGGUAAUUC